rnacentral:lncRNA from 1 species
UUCACUUUUCAUUUUGACUCUCUCUCAAUUAACACUACUUUUUCUUCUGCUAUUCUCUGGAAGCUUCCUGAACAUGUUCUGUUUUUCUACUUUCGUCCUAGUCUCUCAAACCCUUUUAUUGAUAGACUCUGCAAGUUUAUUCUCUUUCUUCUCUCUUUGUUUUCACUCUCCACUAUUUCUCAACAGCAGGGUGCUCCUUGGUCAGUCUGUCUUCUUUCUGUUUCCGCUAUCGACAUUAUUUCACCAGCGACAUCCUCCGUGAUCGGAUUUCUUUGUGGCUGCUCUUCUUUCUUACUGAUUGAUGACUCUUUCUAUAGUCGAAGGUGGAAUACAAAACAAGGAAGAGAAGGAUAGCUAUAGGUUAAGAGGUUCAAAUUUUUUAAUAUUUUAUUUUUAUUAAUAAUUAAUUAUUUAUUUAUAUUAAAUGUAAUUAUGUAAGAUUGAUUGAUGUGAAAUUUGCAGAAAGAAAAAUUUUUGAGGUAUUAAUAUAACGUGAGGUUUGUAAUUUUUUACCUCUUGUUAAACAUUAGAUUUGUUGUUUUAUAUUUAUAUAUUUAUGAUGUCAUUUAUGUAUAGAUAUUUGUUUGUUUAAAUUUAUUUUUUUAUUUUAAUAUUAAUAUCUAUGUUUUAUAUUAAAUACAAUCAUAGGGGGUUAAUAGAUGACUCUUAUAAUUGAAGAUGGAGAUAUAAAAUAAAGAAGAUAAAAAAAAUUGUUGGUUUGAAUGUUUGAAUUUUUUAUAUAUAUAUUUUAAUUUUUUAAUUAAUAUUUAUUUAUUUAUUUAUAUUAGAUUCGAUCAAGAAUGAUUGAUGAAAAAUUUAUAAAAAGAAAAAAAAUUUAGUAAUUUUUUUUAAAGUAAUAUGAUGUGAAGUAUGUAUUUUUUGAUUUUUUUUGUUAAUGUUUAUUACCUAUUGUUAGAUCUUUUAAUUAUAAGUUGUGUUUUGUUGUUUCAUUAUUUAUAUAUUUAUAAUUUUAUUUAUGGAUGAAUAUUUGUUUUAUAGCAGAUGGUGGACAUAAAAAAAAUAAGAGAAGGUUAGCUAUGGGUUUUGAGGUUUAAAAUUUUUUAUUUUUAAAAUUUUUUAUUAAUAUUAAGUUUGCAUUUUUUGAUGUUUGUUUCUUGUUGAUAGGUGUUCUAACUAUGAGUUGGAUUUAUUAUUUCAUCAUUUAUAUAUUUAUAAUUUCAUUCAUGUAUAAGCAUUUGUUGUUCAAAUUUUUUAUUUUUUUAUUUUGUUAUUAAUAUUUAUUAUUCUAUAUUAAAUGCAAUCAUGCAAGUUGAUCGAUGACUUCUUUUACAGUCGAAAGUGGAGAUAUAUGAAAUGAUGUGAAUAAUAUUACCUUUGUACUACUACCAAACCCAAAGUGCAUGAAUUGUGCCUGGGCAUAAUAGUGAUUGAUAUUAAGAAUAAAUGAAGAUAUAGUUGAAUUAUGAAAUUUUGGUACCUUGGUCAUGUUCAUCUUAAGAGUGAAUUAAGGAGUGCAUGCGUAACUAUACUAAAUUUGGCUACUGGAUUUGUGAUAGUGUGAAAGUUCAUGAUGAAAAUAGUAAGCUUGUAAAAGUUAGACCAUUAGAGUGAUGUCUUUUUGAGGCCUUUCGCAUUUCAAAAUGGAAACGGAGAUGGAUGGUUAUAGAUUCUAUAUAUACGCAAACUAGAACCCAAGAAAGAGAAAUGAUGGCAUUGGAAUGAAUAGAAAUAAGUAAACUUGAAAUGAUGUUACAAAUCUUGCACAAUAUAUGGUUGGUGGAAAUGGAAAAUAUUGUUCUUUAAUAAUGUCACUAGGAACAUAGGUGUCUUGACUUGCCACAAUGUGAUAUUUUUAGAAUGAUCAUCACUAGUUUGGUUUUCAAAUCAAACACUUUGUCAAAGGUUUGCAAGGAUGGUGGUAACAUUUUUCCUAUAAAUGAUUCAAUAGUUAUCAUUAAACAUCACUGGGUAGGGAUGGUGGUAAGCAAGCGCAAUGGUCAUUGUCUUGCUUGUGAUUCUUGCAUGCACCAAUUGUGAUAAAGAGAAUUGAGAUUGGGCAACCAAUGAUAACUAAGCCCAUAGUGUAUUGCACUUUUAGAUGUCAUUGAGUAUAGGGUAGUGGAAUGUCUUGAGAAGACAAGUUGAAGAACCCAAUCCAAGAGAAAAACUUUUGUAUAUGCAAUAUGAUGUAAUCAAAUGAGUGAUGAGUAGUUUAGAAAAUUCGAGGACGAAUUUUCUUGAGAAGGGAGAAUGAGAAACCUUAACUUUUCAUUUGAAUGGAAUUUGAUGAAUGUUGAAUAUUUAAUGAGCUAUAUUUGAUUGUGUUAUUGGAUGGGCUUUCCCAACCAAUUUUCUUUAAAUUUAUCUUUCAUAUGGUGUUUUAAUUAUGGAAGUUUUUAGACUUAAAAUAGCUUUUGGAAGUAAGGAGGAUCGACUCUUGAAAGAGAAGGGUUGAUCCCUAGAAAACAGGACAAAAUAAAAAGCCCUAACUUAAUCUUUACUUCUUAUUUUUCAUUUCUUAAGCCUUCAUUCACUCUCUAAUAGCCUCAAAACCACUUUUACAACCAUUCGAUAUCCUAUUUAGCAAGGAAUCAACUUUCUAAACUCGAAUCUAAGGUGAGAUUUAUCAUUUUCAUGUUUUGGAAACCAUGGGUUUAACCUAACACCUUUUUGUACGAAUUCGAACUCAUUUAAUCCUUCAUUAAACUCGAAUCUAAUUGCCCUUGAACCAAUUGGAUUGGUCAACAAAUAUAUAUUACCAUUUAAUACAUAUUUAAUUACUUAACUAUAUGUGAUAGAGGUUUUUUUUCAUAUUAGUACAAUAAUAAGAAAUUAUUAAGUGUUAAUUGGAUUAAGCCCAUGGAACAUAUAAGUUUUGCAAGAGAAUUGUAAAGUUGUUAUAAUUAUGAGAUCUUUAUGCAUCAAAGUCAUGUUUCUAAAAUAAUUUUUGAUUAUUGUAUUGUCAACAUAGGGUAUUGACAAUGCUCAAAGAUUGAUACAUGUUAAGUUUCUUUACUUGAGAAGUAAGUAAAAGAUCUUAUAAAUUGAAGUAUAUGAGAUACUUAAGGAUGACAUGUGGGUGCUUAUUAGAGAACAAAUUUACUGAACAUGACCCACUGUGAGAACCCCAUUUGGUAUUUCACUAAGAUGUCUAUGGAAUAUGUUCUUAUGUUACAGUCAUGUUAUCAAUCCUUGAACUUGAGAUCCCAAGUCAUCUUUUAUGAGGAAAGACAUUUAGAUUUCACUUUUAUGGGUUUGGAGGCGAUUAGAUGUCUAAACAAAGUCUUUUUAGGUGUGCCGCAAGGCAUGCUAAGGUGGAUGAGUUAUUAAGAGAGGAUUUAACGCCUUAAGUGAUAUGAGGAGAUAUAUCUCACUUGUUCUCAACUUUAAAUUAACUUAUAUAAAGUCUUUGGUCAAAACAUAAUGAAUUUGAGGAAAGUUAGUUUCCUAAAUUCAUAAGGUUAGUCAUGAAUUACAAAAACUAAUAUGGAAUGUCAUAAGUAGACACUGAGUCAUGCUUUAUGACAUUUGAUAUAUUUGAUAAAAGGACCGUAUUGCAUUGAGAGACUUAUCACUAAAUGUUUUUGUCAAAUUUUUUAAUUGACUGUUUAAUAUUUGAGUUGUCAUGAUGUGUUGUUAAAUAUCGCUCAUGAUCUACAAAUAUAAAUUAAUUAAUAAAUUGAUAUUUGAUUAUGAUUUAUAUUUAUUACGGACAUGUUAGAAGCGUAAUGGGUCACACACAUUAAGUGACAUGAUUGAGAUUAAAGAGAGAUAAUUAAUUCAGUUAGACUUGAUUGAAAUAGAUCAAAAUAAAGUGAAAAAUAUAAGUUCACAAAGACUUAAAUUGAAUAGAAAUAAAAAUGUUGUAUCUAGGGUUACAACUUAGUUUGGCUAUAUAAAUAUGUUAUGUUAAGCAACUAAAACUUGAAGCUUUAAGCCACUUUUUAGCAGAUUCAUAAAAUAAGAAAAGAACAAUAAAUUUUUUGUCCGACAAAAAUAAGGUUUGGCUAGGGUUUUUGGUUUUUGUUUCUUUAAAAACAAAACUUGCAAUAGAACAAGUAAAAUAAAUCUUAUCUCUGAGAAGGUCUUAUUUGUUUACUGUAUGGAUUAUCGUUAGAGGCUAAACACUUGGGUGGCGGAAGAUUUAACAAAUCUUAAAAGUGAAGAAGCAAAGAUUUCAACUGUAAGAUUUCAGAUUGUUUUAUUCUCUUUGUGGGUUUCUUACUUCCUCAAAAGCUUUUUGGAUUUCAUUAGCUCUCGAGUACGAUAUUUGGAGCAAGGUAUGUAAUACUUGAAUUUAUGAGCAUUCAUAACUAAUAUGAAAAUUGCAUGAAAAACACAUAAUUUUUCUAAGGGAUUCGACUGGUUGUUUGAUUAAAUGUAUUAUCUUAUUUUUUCGUUAUGUUAUGCUUUUAAUUCAUUGAUUAAUUUCAUGUUUGAACAUGAGGUUGAAUCCCAACAUUUUACAAUUCAAAGAUGUUAAGUUAUGGAUGUUUAAGGCUGCUCCAUAAAUAAUUUAAGUUUGAAGUUUUGAAUAUUGUUGAAAUUGAAAUGAAAAAUAUUUGAUUACUUGACUAGUUUCGAAGGUGUGUUUGCUGGAGACUAUGAGAUUUAUAAUAGGAUUUAUUGUGCUAGGUGAUUGUUAGAGCUCGAGAUUGUAAAACGAGCAAAGUUAUGUGAUUUGGAGCUUAGAAAAAUAUACUUCUUGUCAAGGUGAAUGGUUACACCUCUUUCACUAUUUUACUAUGUAAAGUGAGCAUGUUUUAUGAGCUAUUUACCUUUGCAUGAUUUUUAUGUCAUUGGUAAAAAUGUUGGUUGUGAGAAUUAUGUUCAAACUUUUUCAAAAAUGUUUUGAACUUACCAUGAGCCUGUUUUGCUUGAUUUUUUUUAGCUUAAAAGCUAUUAUGAAGUUUUAAUGAAAAAUAAUAGAUUUUAAAAUUACGUUAAAAUUGCUUGAUAAAUUUACUUUUAUAAACUCUUUUUUAUACAUAAGCUAUUUGGUAAAAUAAUUUAUAUUAGCUCUAAUUUCGGUUAAAAUUAUUAUAAGAGGUAAUGUUGAGAUUAUUUUUAAUAGAUGAAGAUAUUUUUGAAAUAAAAAGAAAAAUUCUCUUUAAAAGUUGACAUGUUUUUAAAAGAAGAGAAAAAAAGAGCAAGCUCCUCUUUGGAGCUUUUUUUAAAGAUUUUGUCCUUAAAAAAAAGAUUUUUUUUUUUUAAAAGUUUCUCAAAAUCUUGUUGGGCCUGACUUUUUCUUUUAAUAAAUAGAUAAGCGAAAAAAAAGCUAAGCCAAAUAGGCACUAUAUAUGUAAAUGGUACAAUGUAUUAGUUUUGGACAAGAAGGGACAAGCCCUGUCAAAUGAUUUCUCUUCAAAUAUUCCUCAAUGAUAUGGUCAACAUGGAAUUGACAUUUAAACAUAAAAUGAUGUGUACAUCCUCUUGUAUGAAAUUGAUACGAAAAUAUUAAUGAUAAUGGGCUAUGUGAGCAUUGGUUUUACUUGAUUGAGCAUGAAAUUACCCAUUGGUAUGUGCACUUGUAAAUGUGUGUAUGGUUAUGUUGAGUUGACUGUAUGCUUGAAAUGGUUAUAUUGAUGAAUUGUGGAGAUUAUGAAGUGAAGGGGUGUAUACAAAGGGUUUAAAUUCUAAAUUCUUCAUGUUGCAACAUGAUACAAUGCAUAUGGGGUGUAAAUGGAGGGCCCUAGACCAUCGAGGCACUGAUGACUUGGACAAUAUAAAGGUGUAGACAGAGGGUCUGUCACAGCCCAAUCUUGAGCCGUGACCAAUGCAUGAACCCAAUAGGCAUAACCCACUGGACCUAAGCAAGCCUUUUUAUAUGAAUCUGUACAUUAGUCUAUCUAUCAUCUAUAUUUCUUUGGGAUCUAUAACUCGUAAUAUUGAAUUGAUAAUUUCUUUGAAAACAAUUCAUAAAACCCAAAUUAUAUUCAUAAUAGCAUCAUUAAUCAAAAUAUACAUAGAUAGUUUGCCAAAUGAAUCUUACAAUUCACAUUAAACAUACAUGUACAUAUGCAAGGACCCUAACCGUUAGCAGAGCGACUCUGAGCGUGGAUGCUAACGUUUAGUGUCAUGGCAAAUUUACUAAAAAUGGAUGAGAAUGAGUACCUCAAUCUAGGAUUCAAUUUACUCUAAUUCAGAGAAUCUAAAACAUGAAGUUUAAAAGAAUGAGUAUAAACUUAGUAAGUGAACAUAAGAAGAGAACAAGCACCAAUACGGGAAGUUCUUGAAAUCAUGAUGCACUUAUGUCGAAAACAAUGCAAUUUAGUUUAAUUUCUUGUUAAAAUGCCUCAAUUCAACCCUUGAUUAUUUAGUGCCUUAGUAUUGAAAGAUCCAUGAUCAACAAUGAAGUUAAAAAGUGAAAACUAUGGUAGAGUCCAAGCAAGGCAAGCAUGGCAGAGUGAAUCUUGCUGCAACGAAAUUUAGGGCAAAGUUUUG